rnacentral:rRNA from 1 species
AUGUACCCGACGGGCACCAAGGUGAACUUCCACAUGGAGAAGGGCUCCAGCCCCAACUACCCGGCGCGGGUGAUCAAGUUCCUCCAAGGCAACGGCGACAUGGUGGCCGUGGACAUCAAGCAGAAGGGCAAGGAUAAGUGGAUCGAGGUCAAGGAGUCGUGUGGAGGAUCGACACCCAUGACAAGCUCAUCGACCCUUCACCGGCCACUACACCACCGAGGGCGGCACCAAGACCGUCGCCGAGGACGUCAUCCCCAAGGGCUGGAAGCCCGACACCUCCGACGAGACCAAGUGAAGAAGAUGAAGACAUGCACUUCUUCCGGCCAACCGCACACCAAUAUAUUUUUGUCCUACCCGCCAACCGCAGAGAAUAAAGAAUAA